AUUGUACUUCCUUGCCAGGGGCCAGGCUAAAUUAAUCUGCUUGGGUUUGCUCUUGGGAGAUUUGUUCCCUGAAUGCCUUCCUUAUAGCUUUGGAGGACAGGAAUGAAAAUAACGGCCUCCCAAUUUCCAGCCUUGGGUUGCUAAGAUCUUG